UUGUGCCUUGCUACUUCCCGGCAUGCUGAGUGACUUUGCCUUUAUGAAGCUCUAUGCAUACAAGAUGACUGUCGGAACUCAUCUCUGUAGGGCCAACACCUGAGGUACUGACUAAGAGAGUCUGCAGUGCAGUUGAGGUCCCAGCCAUGUGCCUUCAACCACUCUGGAGAAAUGUUGGGAGGAGCUCUCAGUGCGAUCCUUUCCAUACCUUCCAAGGAUUUUUAGGAUCGUGGGAUUUAUGGACCUGCAAAAUCCUCUGGAGAACAUCAGCCACCGACAAAACCAUCUGGAAAUUCCUGCUGUCUUUUUGCCCUGUCUUUCCUGAGUCACCGAGUCUUGGGAAGGAAGCAUCUCUGCUCUGAGGAUUACAGCAAAUCAGUUGCUUGCCGUCCUUACUGGAAUACCUUCCCUUUCAGUUGCUCAGAACAUAGCAAUUACUGAAGAAGGCAGAAGGAUAUUUUUUCCCUUUCACCGAGCUUUUGCAGCGCAGCAGUGGCUGUGUCCGGCUAUGUAGAUGGUUUCCACAUUCUCUACCCAAUUUCUUUUCCUGAUGUUUAGGAACUGAAUCAUUCUGUUUCCCUACUAGCCUCUGCUAAAGGUCUCGCUUGACUGCAAAAAGGAGAAAGGAGGAGUGUGUGCAGGGAGUUCAGGUCCUGCUGUGGCUUCUUGGGAAGUGAGGAGGAAUAAAGAAGGUAGGAUAACCAAGGUCAGCACCUCACUUCAAGCUAUCAGUUGGACUGCUUGCGGGAUAUCUGCUAUGGACCUUCUGGCUGAUUUUUCUCUUGUAAGAUCCAGAGCGAUCAUUGCCUGUCGUGUACUCAAACUUGCUUUAUACAGAAGACAGCAGAAAGCCACAAAAUUGGAGCCUCAGUAAUUUCUUUACACCCACCAUUUGCCAGUGUUCUGGAUUGGAAACCAACUGCAGCAGCUACUGAGAGUCUCAUUCCUCCUCCACGUGAACCUCCUUCCAGGGAACUGUGAAAAUUCCCACUUCCAUCUCCUUCGCGUACUGGGGUUUCAUGACCAUUAAAACCCGUUCCUGGAACCAUGGGAUGGCCCCACAGCAUGCUUUUGAUCCAGCUCAGAUGUGGGCUUCUCCGUGGGAUGAGUGCCCAGCAAGUCCAGCCAUCAAAACCUACCUAGACCCUAUGGAGCUGCAUGCUCUGACUCAUCCCUACUGAAAUGUCCCCACACCCUGCCCCAGGGCUGUGCAUUCCUGGGCACUGGUUGCCUGUGCCUCAUGAGGUCUUUCUACCAAACUCAUCACUUUGGCUUGGUUCUGCAUCACCACACUGAAACUGUGCAAACUGCAAGCCACCAAACUGUACCUUUGAGCCACCUCACGGGGCACAUGUCCCACAGUGGCUUGGCUGCUGGACCACUCAGGGUGGGAUGCGCAACACACUGCAAGGAAUUUAGUUCAGCACUGGUGCUGGUAGAGCACGGAGCUGGGAGAGCAGCAUCCCUAAUUCAGGUUGAUGCGUGGCUGUGUUGGAGCCCUUUCUGUAAACCACUUCAAAGGGCGUUUUGCUGUUUUGUCUCUUCAUUCACUGUUCUUUCCCACUUGUGCAUUUUGUGCAAUUUUAAAAACUUCUUGCAUGUAUUCCAUUCCUCUUAUCCUAGACCAAGUGGCUAUCUUCUCUUCUUUCUUAGCUGGCUUGUUCAUGCAGAGGCAAGGAGUAGCAAAACAUGUUUUUCCUUCUGAAAAGAGAGAAAAUAAAUGUUUGAUACCUGAUAAUAGUUUUUGUUGUUUGUCUGAGGCAGCUUGAAAUCCUUAGGGAAAAUCAGAAUUGUUCCAUUAGGAUGAGCUGCUUGCAAGCAUCCUGCCAAACUGGAACAGCCCUUCAAGCUGUACUGAAAUGAAUUCAAACCCUCCACAGAUAAGCACAACAUAGGGUAUAAUUUUACUUCAACAGAAGGAAAAAGUCCAGUACAUCAUCUCCUUUUAUUUCAGUGUCUGGUUGUCUUGACACCCAUGUACAUAUAGAAAUAUGCUUUCUUCACAUGUAUUUACUGAGGCACUCAAGCUAAAUGCAAUUGAGCCUGGUGGUUGCUGGGAUGGUUCAUCGUGCACGUCCAGGUGCCAUCUGUACACAGGGAAGCUGGCAAUGCAGUAAAUGGCUGUUUUCCCUUCUUUAAGAGAUGCAUGUUGGGGUUGACUUUUGAUGAUCACUUAGGAUCUUAAGCUUUUGUGCUUUUGCAUUUACCUUUGUGUUGGCUAAAUUUCAGUUCACUUACUUCCCUGUGAACAAUUCUUUUUUUGUUGAAUAAACUAUUCCUUGCAAACCAUAA